rnacentral:rRNA from 1 species
GCUGGACGCUAGCGGCAGGCCUAACACAUGCAAGUCGAGGGGCAGCAUUUCCAGUUUACUGGAAGAUGGCGACCGGCGCACGGGUGAGUAACGCGUAUAGAAUCUGCCCUUUACUGGGGAAUAGCCCGAAGAAAUUUGGAUCAAUGCCCCAUGGUCCCUUUUUGUGGAUUCACGAUUAGGGUAAAGGUUACGGUAAAGGAUGACUAUGCGUCCCAUUAGUUAGUUGGUAGGGUAACGGCCUACCAAGACCGCGAUGGGUAGGGGCCCUGAGAGGGGGAUCCCCCACACUGGUACUGAGACACGGACCAGACUCCUACGGGAGGCAGCAGUGAGGAAUAUUGGACAAUGGGCGAGAGCCUGAUCCAGCCAUGCCGCGUGCAGGAAGACGGUCCUAUGGAUUGUAAACUGCUUUUAUACGGGAAGAACCUAGGGCACGUGUGCUCUACUGACGGUACCGUAAGAAUAAGGAUCGGCUAACUCCGUGCCAGCAGCCGCGGUAAUACGGAGGAUCCGAGCGUUAUCCGGAAUCAUUGGGUUUAAAGGGUCCGUAGGCGGGCCAUUAAGUCAGGGGUGAAAGUCUGCGGCUCAACCGUAGAAUUGCCCUUGAUACUGGUGGUCUUGAGUUAUGGUGAAGUAACUAUAAUAUGUGGUGUAGCGGCGAAAUGCAUA